UGGGGAAUAUUGCACAAUGGGGGAAACCCUGAUGCAGCGACGCCGCGUGAGUGAAGAAGUAUUUCGGUAUGUAAAGCUCUAUCAGCAGGAACGAGACAAGACGGUACCUGACUAAGAAGCCCCGGCUAACUACGUGCCAGCAGCCGCGGUAAUACGUAGGGGGCAAGCGUUAUCCGGAAUCACUGGGUGUAAAGGGAGCGUAGACGGCUGAGCAAGCCUGAAGUGAAAGGCGGGGGCCCAACCCCCGGACUGCUUUGGGAACUGUACGGCUGGAGUGCAGGAGAGGUAAGUGGAAUUCCUAGUGUAGCGGUGAAAUGCGUAGAUAUUAGGAGGAACACCAGUGGCGAAGGCGGCUUACUGGACUGUAACUGACGUUGAGGCUCGAAAGCGUGGGGAGCAAACA
rnacentral:rRNA from 1 species